AAUCAGAUAAUAAGUUGAGUUUGAGUUGUAGACUCUUUUGUCGUGUAAAGUUAGGAAUGUUCAUAAAGCUGUCGAAAUUUGUCUUAAACUCAUAGUAGACAUGGCUGUAAAUAGACUUCAUUACUGGAUUAUCUGAAAUAAUAUCAAACAAAGCAGUUGUUAAGGCUCUAUAUUUUGGUGGGAGUUCUUGGGCAACGGUAUACAACACAUGAGUGGGGUAGACUUUGUAACCCCAAGACACCGUCUUAAUAUAUCAUUUUGAGUGUGUCAAUUUUCUUAUUUAUGUAUUCGGGUGAGUUAGCAGUGAAUGUUCUCGCGUACUAAAGUUUGGAUCGUACCACACUUUUAUAUAUAUUUAGUGCGUUCUUUGGUUGCCACCUUUCACGGAGGCCAAGCACUAUAACAUGUUUGACCUUGAACGAAUAUCACGGCCGAUUUUUUCGUAAUGAUCCUUGACCGUCAGGGAGAUGGUUAACACUCUUCCAAUAAAUGUUAAUUUCCGUUGCUGUUUUACGGUAAAGCCAUUGAUACUUAAAUUGAUCUCUUUGUGCUGUUUUUUUUUUGCAAAGUACAUUGUAUGUGAUUUGGAUGGAUUAAAGGAGAGGUUUAAACUGUUACAGUAUCUUUUGAAGAUAAGAGUUUUCGUCUGAAGAUUUUGAGCAGCAAUCUCAAAAUCUCUAUUAUAGAAUAGGAUGAUAAAGUCGUCCGCAUACUGAAAGACCAUGGUGUUGCUGUUUUCAAUCUGGUGUAAUUCAGCAGUAUAUAUAUUGAAGACCAUCCUUGACAGUAAUCUUCCCAUUUCCCCUCACAAGUGUCCGUUCAGAUAAAAAAUUAUGUAUCCACCUACAGUAGAACCCAUUUAAAUUUAUUGGGAUAUCGUACUUAACGCAGUUGUAUGCAUUACUUAUAUCAAGAGAUAAGAUCACGGUUUCAAAUCCAUUGAUUUUAAGUAAGGACAAUCGGUGGAGUAGAUCAUUAAUACAAGUCGAGAUGGAGCGAUUCCUGACAUUAACAUUGCAACACGGGUAUAAGAGAGAUGGGUCGGAAAUUAUAAGUUUGGUCGUGAUCUUUGUUUGGUUUCGGGAUAGGAACAAUCUUGAUGCACUUCCAACUACAGCGUAUGCAAUUAUCCUCAAUAGUAUUAUUUAUGACAGUGAGAAUAACCCUCUUAAAUAUCCCCGGUAAUGCCUUAAGUAUGGAGUAAGUGACUCCGUCAACUCCUCCUGCUGACAAUUUUCAAAGUCUUCGAAUUCUAAG